rnacentral:rRNA from 1 species
UACAGAGGUCUCAAGCGUUGUUCGGAUUCAUUGGGCGUAAAGGGUGCGUAGGCGGCGCGGUAAGUCGGGUGUGAAAUCUCGGAGCUUAACUCCGAAACUGCAUUCGAUACUGCCGUGCUUGAGGACUGGAGAGGAGACUGGAAUUUACGGUGUAGCGGUGAAAUGCGUAGAUAUCGUGAGGAACACUAGUGGCGAAGGCGAGACUCUGGACAGUUCCUGACGCUGAGGCACGAAGGCCAGGGGAGCAAACGGG